GGAGUUCAGGCCCACCAAAAUGGCGAGCUGGGCUGCGGAGACGCGCUGAGUGGCAGAGGCAAGCGAGCAGAGGCGCUGCGAACCUGGUAGUACGGAGCUCUGCCUUAGGGAACAUGCACUUUUCCAUUCCUGAAACGGAGUCCCGCAGUGGGGACAGCGGCGGCUCCGCCUACGUGGCCUAUAACAUUCACGUGAAUGGAGUCCUGCACUGUCGGGUGCGCUACAGCCAGCUUCUGGGGCUGCACGAGCAGCUUCGGAAGGAGUAUGGGGCCAACGUGGUUCCUGCAUUCCCCCCAAAGAAGCUGUUCUCUUUGACCCCUGCAGAGGUGGAGCAGAGGAGAGAGCAGUUGGAGAAGUACAUGCAAGCUGUUCUGUAGACUGGACUCAACUAGAUGGCAGCCAAGGGUGGGGCAGGUGAAGAAUUUAUGCAAACAGUGUGUGAGUUCGGCAAGACCCAUUGCUUGGGAGCAGUGAGACUUUUAAUAGCUUUCUACGUCGGGCCCAACAGGAGACCCAACAGGUGCCCACAGAGGAGGUUUCCUUGGAAGUGCUGCUCAGCAAUGGACAGAAAGUUCUGGUAACUGUGCUAACUUCUGACCAGACAGAAGAUGUCCUGGAGGCUGUGGCUGCAAAGCUGGAUCUUCCAGAUGACUUGAUCGGAUAUUUUAGUCUCUUCCUUGUUCGAGAAAAAGAAGAUGGAGCCUUUUCUUUUGUACGGAAGCUGCAGGAGUUUGAACUGCCUUAUGUUUCUGUUACCAGUCUUCGGAGUCAAGAGUAUAAGAUUGUGCUCAGAAAGAGUUAUUGGGACUCUGCCUAUGACGACGAUGUCAUGGAGAACCGGGUUGGCCUGAACCUGCUUUAUGCUCAGACGGUGUCAGACAUUGAGCAUGGCUGGAUCCUGGUCACCAAAGAGCAGCACCGGCAGCUCAAAUCUCUGCAAGAGAAGGUCUCCAAAAAGGAGUUCUUGCGGCUGGCCCAAACUCUGCGGCACUAUGGCUAUCUGCGCUUUGAUGCCUGUGUGGCUGACUUUCCAGAGAAGGAUUGCCCUGUUGUGGUGAGCGCAGGCAACAGUGAGCUCAGUCUCCAGCUGCGACUACCAGGCCAGCAACUCCGUGAAGGCUCUUUCCGUGUUACCCGAAUGCGAUGCUGGCGGGUCACCUCCUCUGUGCCACUCCCUAGUGGGGGCACGAGCAGUCCAAGCCGGGGUCGGGGUGAGGUUCGCCUGGAACUGGCUUUUGAAUACCUCAUGAGCAAGGACCGGCUACAGUGGGUCACCAUCACCAGCCCACAGGCUAUCAUGAUGAGCAUCUGCCUGCAGUCCAUGGUAGAUGAGCUGAUGGUGAAGAAAUCUGGGGGCAGUAUCAGGAAGAUGCUGCGCCGGCGGGUGGGGGGCACCCUGAGACGUUCAGACAGCCAGCAAGCAGUGAAGUCCCCACCAUUGCUCGAGUCACCAGACGCCAGCCGGGAGUCCAUGGUGAAACUCUCAAGUAAACUGAGUGCUGUGAGCUUGCGGGGGAUUGGCAGUCCCAGCACAGAUGCCAGUGCCAGUGCCGUCCACGGCAAUUUCGCCUUCGAGGGCAUUGGAGAUGAGGAUCUGUAAUCUCAGCUGCCUGGAUGUCUGCCCUCUACCUGAGAGGAGAUUUAUACACACUUGCCCUGUGCCUAUGCUCCCACGUUAGGGGAGUCUCUUCCUAUUCCCUCCCCACUUCUCCUUGUUCCUCUUGGCCAGGGGCCUCCUAACCAUACCUUCCCUUUUCCUGGGCUGGCUACACAAAAGAUCACUGUCUCUUUUUUAGAGCUGGCCCUUGAUGCCAAAUUAGCAUUUAGUAUUUUGCACAAAGUCCAAGAGACUGUGGCUACUUGCCUCGGAGAGGAACUCUAACACUCCAUGGGUUGUUUCUGGCUUUUGAGGAACUCCAGCACUCCAUGGGUUGUUUCUGGCUUUUCAGGGCCUGGGCAAAGGGUGGGCAGAGGUCUGUGAAUGGUCUGAGCAGCUCCCCAUCAUUAAACUCAGCCUGAUUGCCGCCUA